rnacentral:rRNA from 1 species
CACCCGAAGCCGGUGGCCCAACCCCCUUGUGGGGAGGGAGCUGUCGAAGGUGGGACUGGCGAUUGGGACGAAGUCGUAACAAGGUAGCCGUACCGGAAGGUGCGGCUGGAUCACCUCCUUU